CCUACGGGUGGCUGCAGUGGGGAAUAUUGGACAAUGGGGGGAACCCUGAUCCAGCCAUGCCGCGUGUGUGAAGAAGGCCCUCGGGUUGUAAAGCACUUUCAGUGAGGAAGAACGCCUAGUGGUUAAUACCCAUCAGGAAAGACAUCACUCACAGAAGAAGCACCGGCUAACUCCGUGCCAGCAGCCGCGGUAAUACGGAGGGUGCGAGCGUUAAUCGGAAUUACUGGGCGUAAAGCGCGCGUAGGUGGCUUGAUAAGCCGGUUGUGAAAGCCCCGGGCUCAACCUGGGAACGGCAUCCGGAACUGUCAAGCUAGAGUGCAGGAGAGGAAGGUAGAAUUCCCGGUGUAGCGGUGAAAUGCGUAGAGAUCGGGAGGAAUACCAGUGGCGAAGGCGGCCUUCUGGACUGACACUGACACUGAGGUGCGAAAGCGUGGGUAGCAAACAGGAUUAGAUACCCCUGUAGUC
rnacentral:rRNA from 1 species